GGAUGAGCCCGCGGCCUAUCAGCUUGUUGGUGAGGUAAUGGCUCACCAAGGCGACGACGGGUAGCCGGCCUGAGAGGGCGACCGGCCACACUGGGACUGAGACACGGCCCAGACUCCUACGGGAGGCAGCAGUGGGGAAUAUCGCACAAUGGGCGAAAGCCUGAUGCAGCGACGCCGCGUGAGGGAUGACGGCCUUCGGGUUGUAAACCUCUUUCAGCAGGGAAGAAGCGAAAGUGACGGUACCUGCAGAAGAAGCGCCGGCUAACUACGUGCCAGCAGCCGCGGCCG
rnacentral:rRNA from 1 species